rnacentral:rRNA from 1 species
GUGCCAGCCGCCGCGGUAAUACAGAGGUCUCAAGCGUUGUUCGGAAUUACUGGGCGUAAAGGGUGCGUAGGCUGCGCAGAAAGUCAGGUGUGAAAUCCGGGAGCUCAACUUCCGAAUUGCACCCGAUACUCCUGUGCUAGAGGACUGGAGAGGAGCUUGGAAUUCUCGGUGUAGCAGUGAAAUGCGUAGAGAUCGAGAGGAACACUAGUGGCGAAGGCUGGGCUCUGGACAGUAUCUGACGCUGAGGCACGAAGGUCAGGGGAGCAAACGGGAUUAGAAACCCCCGUAGUCC